rnacentral:rRNA from 1 species
CCUACGGGUGGCAGCAGUGAGGAAUAUUGGUCAAUGGACGGAAGUCUGAACCAGCCAUGCCGCGUGCAGGAAGACGGCUCUAUGAGUUGUAAACUGCUUUUGUACAAGGGUAAACCUGAAUACGUGUAUUCUUCUGUAUGUACUUUACGAAUAAGGAUCGGCUAACUCCGUGCCAGCAGCCGCGGUAAUACGGAGGAUCCAAGCGUUAUCCGGAUUUAUUGGGUUUAAAGGGUGCGUAGGGGGAUUGUUAAGUCAGUGGUGAAAGGUUGGGGCUUAACUGGGGAAUUGCAUUUAAUACUGGUGGUCUAGAGAGUAGAUGCGGUAGGCGGAAUGUAUGGUGUAGCGGUGAAAUGCUUAGAGAUCAUACAGAACACCGAUUGCGAAGGCAGCUUACCAAGCUAUAUCUGACGUUGAGGCACGAAAGCGUGGGGAGCAAACAGGAUUAGAUACCCCAGUAGUC